GGUGAGUGGAAUGGUCCUGGGCGC
rnacentral:siRNA from 1 species